AGCGAACGCCGGCGGCAGGCCUAACACAUGCAAGUCGAACGAACCCUUCGGGGUUAGUGGCGGACGGGUGAGUAACACGUGGGAACGUGCCUUUAGGUUCGGAAUAACUCAGGGAAACUUGUGCUAAUACCGAAUGUGCCCUUCGGGGGAAAGAUUUAUCGCCUUUAGAGCGGCCCGCGUCUGAUUAGCUAGUUGGUGAGGUAAUGGCUCACCAAGGCUACGAUCAGUAGCUGGUCUGAGAGGAUGACCAGCCACAUUGGGACUGAGACACGGCCCAAACUCCUACGGGAGGCAGCAGUGGGGAAUCUUGCGCAAUGGGCGAAAGCCUGACGCAGCCAUGCCGCGUGGAUGAUGAAGGUUCUAGGAUUGUAAAAUCCUUUCACCGGUGAAGAUAAUGACUGUAGCCGCAGAAGAAGCCCCGGCUAACUUCGUGCCAGCCGCCGCAGUAAUAC
rnacentral:rRNA from 1 species